GAUGAACGCUGGCGGCGCGCUUAACACAUGCAAGUCGAACGAUGAAGCCCAGCUUGCUGGGUGGAUUAGUGGCGAACGGGUGAGUAACACGUGAGUAACCUGCCCUUAACUCUGGGAUAAGCCUGGGAAACUGGGUCUAAUACCGGAUAGGAGCGUCCACCGCAUGGUGGGUGUUGGAAAGAUUUAUCGGUUUUGGAUGGACUCGCGGCCUAUCAGCUUGUUGGUGAGGUAAUGGCUCACCAAGGCGACGACGGGUAGCCGGCCUGAGAGGGUGACCGGCCACACUGGGACUGAGACACGGCCCAAUCGCCUACGGGAGGCAGCAGUGGGGAGUAUUGCACAAUGGGCGCAAGCCUGAUGCAGCGACGCCGCGUGAGGGAUGACGGCCUUCGGGUUGUAAACCUCUUUCAGUAGGGAAGAAGCGAAAGUGACGGUACCUGCAGAAGAAGCACCGGCUAACUACGUG
rnacentral:rRNA from 1 species